GAAAGAUGGUUUCGGCUAUCGCUUACAGAUGGGCCCGCGGUGCAUUAGCUAGUUGGUAGGGUAAUGGCCUACCAAGGCAACGAUGCAUAGCCGACCUGAGAGGGUGAUCGGCCACACUGGGACUGAGACACGGCCCAGACUCCUACGGGAGGCAGCAGUAGGGAAUCUUCCGCAAUGGACGAAAGUCUGACGGAGCAACGCCGCGUGUAUGAAGAAGGUUUUCGGAUCGUAAAGUACUGUUGUUAGAGAAGAACAAGGAUAAGAGUAACUGCUUGUCCCUUGACGGUAUCUAACCAGAAAGCCACGGCUAACUACGUGCCAGCAGCCGCGGUAAUACGUAGGUGGCAAGCGUUGUCCGGAUUUAUU
rnacentral:rRNA from 1 species